GACUCUCGACAACGGAUAUCUCGGCUCUCGCAUCGAUGAAGAACGUAGCGAAAUACGAUGCUUGGUGUGAAUUGCAGAAUCCCAUGAACCAUCGAGUCUUUGAACGCAAGUUGCGCCCGAAGCCAUUAGGCCGAGGGCACGUCCGCCUAGGCAUCA
rnacentral:rRNA from 1 species